rnacentral:rRNA from 1 species
UACGUAGGGGGCUAGCGUUGUCCGGAUUUAUUGGGCGUAAAGAGCGUGUAGGCGGCCAGGUAGGUCCGGUGUGAAAACUCGAGGCUUAACCUCGAGAUGUCAUCGGAAACCAUCUGGCUAGAGUCCGGAAGAGGAAAGUGGAAUUCCGGGUGUAGCGGUGAAAUGCGUAGAUAUCCGGAGGAACACCGGUGGCGAAGGCGGCUUCCUGGACCGACACUGACGCUGAGGCGCGAAAGCUAGGGGAGCAAACGGG